UGAAGCUGCUCACGGCCCACCCA
rnacentral:siRNA from 1 species